GCUCCGGUGGCCUAGUGGUUAGAGCGUCCGCUUUGGAUGAGGGAGGUCAUGAGUUUGAUCUCCAGUCGAGUCA